rnacentral:lncRNA from 1 species
UACCUGCCAUUUCAAUAUUUACAAAUGUUGCGCCUGUUGGUGCGCCAUACGAAACAAAUCGAGAUGAACAUUUCCUCAAGAUCCGUAUCAAAAUCAUCCAUUUGGAAGAGCCCCAGCAGUGGGUUACAGCUCUGUCCGCCUACCUAAGUUCUCGAAGUACACCCUGGAGUCGAUGGAAACAAUGCUUUCAGAGGUCUCCUCAUAAUAAAUCAAAGGGAGUGCGUAGCAAAGUCAUCAAACACUCGGCACAUUUCCGGGGCUGUGCAAAGCCAGCAUAUGAGACAAAGGCCACAAGAACUAGCUGUGGAUAUGAAAAGACGGACACAGGCGUCAGGUCUAUAUUCUGUCACGACAGAGGCACGUUUUUUGUCACACAAGUUUGCAGCAGUGCAAACAGUAACGGGUACUUGCACAAUGCUUCCUCGGGGUCCAUAGAGCAACUGCAAAUCUGGGCGCGUGGGUUCAUUUGUUUUGGAGCAAGAAGCCCCAAAAAAAGCCACUCGAAAGUAAGGAGACAAUAUGCAUAGCACCUGGUCCUGUCUGGUCCUUGCUUUUGUUUAGGACUGCUUGCCUGAUAGCAAGAAAG